GUGACAUAUGACUCAUUCGACAUCAAAGGCGUUCGUAGCUUGGAGGCAAUGGUGCAGACUCAUCUCGCUAGUGGAUCACCCUAUGUUGAGUUAUAUAUACAAUUUUCAUCGCCAAAUGAUGCAUUUGCAGCUUCAACAUUUACUGCCGGUCGAGAGGAAUACACGACCCCUGCUCGACAUUCCGUUAGUGGAUGGCAAAACACAGAAGCGCCUGUGUUUAGUAGCAGUAUGGAAUACCCAACCCUUGCACGACACUCCGUUAGUGGAUGGGAUAUGCACCUCAGUGGUCGAUGUUUGAUGCUGGAAAUAUGUACUGAGGAAUGACAUCAACUUCUAGUGGUUGACAAUCCACAUCUGAUUGGAGAUAUUGUGAAACGUCCACAAUAAGGGAUGAUGUACUCCCUACGACGUCCACCGGCGAGGGGACCUCUUUCGUUGCAGAUGAUGGUGGGUCAGAUGAUGAGUCUGAUGUGGAUCCACCUCGAGAGCCUAGGCCUAAUGGUGCAGAAGUUGCAUUAUUUUCUGAACCGAAGCCUGUUCCAACCGUACCUGAAGAUGUUGAAGGGGGUUUAGAUGAAGAAGAAGAAGAUUCACGAUUCAGGGUGUACUCACCUUCAGCCUACAUGCAUGUUGAUCUAUCUCAAGAUGAUACGUUGGAGUUUCCAGAUCUACCACACAGAAGGCGUGAUCGUACAAGUUCCUCAAUGAAUUCGAGUGAAUUGGAAGUUGGUAAAGAGUUUUCCAAUAAAGAUAGUUUUCUUGGUGUAGUAAAACAAUAUAGCAUCAUGAACGGGGUUAACUACAAAGUGGUUAAAUCUAAAUCCGAUAAGUUUAAGGCCAAGUGUGCAGUGCAAGAUGGAACAUGUUCAUGGAAAAUCAUGGCCUCGUUGAGGAAAAAGACAGGCUUGUGAGAGAUAAAAAAGUACAAAGGUCCAUAUACAUGUGUUGCCGGUGUUUCACAAGAUCAUCCCAAGAUGGAUUCAGAUAUGUUAGCUACCUUAAUACCACCGACGGUGAAGGCGGAUCCCAGAACUUUAGUGUCGGUCUUAAUUGCCAAUAUUCAUGGCCAGUUGAGGUACAUACCCUCUUAUCGCAAGGCUUGGAUAGCUAAGCAGAAGGUGUUGGAAAAGAUGCAUGGUGGGUGGGACGCUUCAUAUAAUGAAGUGUGGCAGUGGUGCCAGGUGCUGGAGAGAUAUGUCCUAGGUUACGUAACAGACCUUGAAACAGAACCUACGUACUACAACGACCGAUUGCUCCAUGGAUGCCAAGUAUUUAAGCGCCUGUUCUGGAGCUUUAAGCAAUGCCGAGACGCAUUUCUAUAUUGCAAGCCAUUGGUACAAAUUGACGGUACCUUUAUGUACGGUAGAUAUACUCAUCAGCUAUUGUUAGCUGUGACACAGGAUGGCAGUGGGAGAAUCCUUCCAAUUGCGUUUGCAAUAACACCGGGGGAGUCACCUGAUGACUGAGAUUUCUUUCUUUCUAGGUUAAAGAGGCAUGUCUGCCCCUAACCUAAUAUCUGCAUCAUAUCGGAUUAGGGCACAGGAAUAUUAUUCGCAAUUGAGCGACAGGGAAGCCUGUGGCAUCGCACACACCAUCGGUAUUGCCUAAGGCAUGUUGCGUCCAACUAUUAUGGGUAAUAUCGAUCUAUAAGUGAACAACGGCAAAUGACCAACAUGGGUAUUUAAUCUCUACUAAUAUAAUUUCUUUUUAUUCUGAGUGGAAAAGUGAUAUGUAAUUUUUGCUAUCAUCUUAUAUUGGCAGGGUAUUAGAUAAAUAAGGAUCGUUUUCAUGAAA